rfam:Felis catus isolate Cinnamon breed Abyssinian chromosome A3, whole genome shotgun sequence.
UCCUGGGUGGCUCAGUCGGUUAAGCAUCUGACUUCGGUUCAGGUCGUGAUCUCACAGUUCGUGGGUUUGAGCCCCACCUCAGGCU